GAUAUGGCUCAGGAUGAACGCUAGCGACAGGCUUAACACAUGCAAGUCGAGGGGCAGCAUAAAAGUAGCAAUACUUGGUGGCGACCGGCGCACGGGUGAGUAACGCGUAUGCAACCUACCUAUCAGAGGGGAAUAACCCGGCGAAAGUCGGACUAAUACCGCAUAAAACAGGGACACCGCAUGGUGAUAUUUGUUAAAGAAAUUCGCUGAUAGAUGGGCAUGCGUUCCAUUAGGUAGUUGGUGAGGUAACGGCUCACCAAGCCGACGAUGGAUAGGGGAACUGAGAGGUUGGUCCCCCACACUGGUACUGAGACACGGACCAGACUCCUACGGGAGGCAGCAGUGAGGAAUAUUGGUCAAUGGGCGAGAGCCUGAACCAGCCAAGUCGCGUGAAGGAAGAAGGAUCUAUGGUUCGUAAACUUCUUUUGCAGGGGAAUAAAGUGCAGGACGUGUCCUGUUUUGUAUGUACCCUGAGAAUAAGGAUCGGCUAACUCCGUGCCAGCCGCCGC
rnacentral:rRNA from 1 species